UGCGAGGCUUUAGUAAGACAGAGACUGUCGGUCUGGUCGGAUAAGCUAACCGCGUGCGCGCAGCAAAUCUCCGGGCGUGCUUAGGGACUCCAAGCUGAAACAGAGUUGAGCUCGCGUCGCGCGAAUAACCCUUUGAAUAAACGCAAAAAAACGUGAGGCAUUUUUGCAAAAAAAAAAUUGACGUCUUCCGCGUUUCGUCAGAGAAAAUUGCAGGUUUUUGUGAUCAGCGUCGACUUCAGUAGUACCCAAAAUUGAUUUGGUACAGUGCAGUUGAGGUCGAAAACGAAAUAGAGAAGAGUUCACAUUGCAAGUUCAGUAGAGAAGGUUUUGCUUUGGAAUUUAAUUGAGUGCUGAUUGCUGAGUGUUUAGAAAUAAUUAUAAGCUCCAGCCCUAGUUGAAAACGAUUCGAUCGUGUGCCGAUCUCACGAACGGUCUUGAAAAUCCUGACCGUGGACGGAGUUUGUGCAACAAGUUUAAGUGCAAUUGCAGAUCUCAACGUUAAGCGCGGCCUUAGAGUGAGGAUAGCGAAAAAUGGGAAAAUUGCAGAAUAGGUUUUGCUUAGUGCCAGUGAUGAUUGUGGUGAUUAGUGCAAUUGCUUGUCAAGCGAAUCAGCAUUCCAACAGUGAUUAUAGCGAAAAUCUGAAACAGCAGCAUUCAACAAAACAGCAAGCUCACCGUCAUCAUCAUCAACAUCACCAGCAUCACAAGCUGGACUCGGUGUCCUUAGGCAGCAGGAAUUCCUCUCGUUACUCUCUAAUUACGGGUAGUAGCAGCACCGGAAACAAUUACUACCAACCGCCAACAAAUAAUUAUCACUAUCAAUUCCACAAUACCGGCAGUACUGAUCAAAGACCCCAUUCUCAACACCAUAAUCAACAUCACCAACCUAGUAGACCUUCGGUAGUAACGCAGCAUAAUGUCCGCCGGCUGGACAAUCCUGGUAACCGGGGUAAAUACGGUGGUCCGUCGAAACCCCCGAAAACUAAUAAUUCUGGCAACACUGCCGGAUUGCGACCGGUGAAGCGAAUGCUGAAGAACAACAACCAUCAUCCCAGAAACAUAACCGGCAAAAACGUGUGCACCGAGAAGCGGACCGUCCAUGUGCCAAUCUACAGAAAGUCAUCCGUGAAACACUUUGUCCAGCCAUGUUCGGACCAGAAGCUGUGCUCCGGCGUACGUACCAAUUAUGAGCCAACCUACCACCAAGUGAAGCGAGAGGUUUACGCAUGCUGCCCCGGUUGGGAAACAACCAGCACCGUCACCGAAGGGUGUCAUAAACCCAUCUGCCGAAACGAAUGCCGUAACGGAGGACGCUGCACGGCCCCAGAUACCUGUACCUGUCCGGCGGGAUUCAACGGGCCCCAGUGUGAACUGGACAUCAACGAAUGCAAACAGCACAAACCGUGCGACCAGACGUGCUACAAUACGGAUGGAUCCUACUACUGCACCUGUCGAGACGGCUUUAUGCUCCAGGCGGAUCGACACAGCUGUCGGAAAAUGGAAACGACGAACGAUGUGGCGUUCGAAGCCAGAGAUAUGGAAAACGAUGUCGAUUACGAUAGCCUCGAUACGCGAUUAACCAAACUAGAGAAGAUAAUCUUCAACGAGGAUCGCCGAUCGAUAUCGGAGACCCAUGAGAUGAACAAGAAGGUCCAGUAUGCGAUGGAUGCGGUUUCGUCGCUGAGGGCGCAAGUUUCACGACUGACACAAAGGCUGUUUCCUACGGUGGACUACGGGAACCGGAUCUGAACCGAUGAAGCUCGAGGAGGUUAUUGGCCGUGAAGGCGGUGCCAUCCCGUAGGUUGUUGAUAAAGUCCAAAUCUCUCUUCAACGUAGAAUGUAUUUAUUGUAAAUUAAUUGCAGUUUAUUUUAUAAGAUUUUUACCAAACAUGUGCUUCCGAGAGGAUUCCCACUAAGUGACCCCUUUGAGUACAACGAAACAUUCACUGCCCACAACGAAGGUUCAUCGCAUAAAUUAGACGAUUGCAGCUACUAAGGCCAAAGUUUGCCCAGAAUUGUCAUCGAAAUAAAUUUCGAAACUGUGUGUCUAUUA